GGAAGCCGGAGCAUUAGCAGGUCGGCUCUGGCCCUUGGUGUCCUCUUUGAAUUGUGGCUGCUGGGGCUGCCGGCAUGUCUCCGCCAACCUGUCACUGCCGAGCGGGAUCAGAGCUGUGCACGCGUGUGUGCCUGAGCGCCCCACCGUCCUGGGCCCAAGCGUUUACAGGCUGAAGCUCGCGCGUCCUAAGGGUGAUGGUGGUGUGGGUCAACAGAGCAUUGUCCAUCCGUACACUGAGUAGCUGCCUCGACGUGGAUGGACCCUGAGGACACCGGGCUCAGUGAGAGGAGCCAGACCCAGAAAGACACAUCCCACAGGACCCCACUCCCAGGAGGUCCCCAGAGGAGUCCCGUCCACACAGAGAGGAGCUGGUGGGACCCAGGGCUGGGGCAGGGGAUGGGGAGUCCGUGAUUCCUGGGGACAGAGUCUCCGUGUGGGGAGAUGGAACGUUCUGGAGACGGAGGGUGGGGAGGUUUCCACAAAGGGAAUGUGCUUCAUGCCGCGGAGCUGUGCACUUAGAGAUGGUUAUGUUUUAUGUGUAUUUUAUCACAACUUAAAAAUUUUUUUAAAGAUGGGGGUCUGUUGGGUACCACUGGAGUGAGAGGCACUGGGUAGAAGCUGGGAGGGCAGGCUUGAGAUUCACCCCAUCUGCCUGUCUGCCCACGGGAAGUCCCUAGUCCCUCUCUGCUUUGGCUUCCUUAACUGGAAGAAGGGAACAAUAAUAGUAUUUACCAUUAAGGGUCUUUGCGAAGAUUAAAUUAGUCAAAUACGUGAAAAACUCAGAAUUGUUCCUGCCAUACAGUAAGUGCUUAACGUUGAAAGGCACUGGGGGGCCCUGCAGGGAAAGGUCCCAGGGUGCUCGUGCUGUACAGGGAACCUGUAAGAUGUUUUGAGGCCUAGAGAAUAGGAAGGGAGAAAUUCUCAGCUCCAGAAAUAAAGAAAACUGCAAAAUCUGAAUUAAUACCUUAUCAAACGUCUCCACAUCUACACAAAUGUGUCAACUUCAUCAAUUGCUAAAUUUUGUACUCAUACAGAUUUCAUUACAUUUCAAAACAGUUGCUAGGUUAAAUUUUCUCACUUUGCAGGAAUUCCCCAGUCUGCAUGAUGAUUGCCAGUCUUAAAUUGCGUGUGUGACUCAGAAAACCUCAAACACGAAGUUAUAAAAAACCCUUUUGAUUUUUAAAAAAAAUAACAGCCACAAAAGUUGUCGGCUAGUGGGGACUGAGGGCCUUUGAACUGGCUGGCCGGGCCGAGGGGCGGGGUCUCCACUGACACUCCUGGUGUUGACACCCCCACCGCCACCCCACCAGGUAAGACCACCCCUCCCUGGGGCAUGGCCGUCACAGGAUGGUGAGCCAGGGUUUGGACCUGGGCUCACACCUGCCAGGUGGGUUCACAUCUCAGCUCCCCCUCUUUCAUCAGCUGCGUGUCCCUGGGAAAGUGACUCACCCCCUCUGAGCCCACUGCUUUCCCGUUCCUCAGAGGAGUGUGAUACCGCCUUCAUCCUGGAAGGAUUUGAUGGGUGACCACGGCAGGUCCAACAUGUCUGCUGGAGGCCUCUUGCUCAGUGGGACGCUGGGUCCUCAGGACGGUGAUUUCCUCCUCUUCCCGGAAUGCUGUACUCAUCUUAGGACCGGAGCGCUGCACACCAUGCUUGCAAGAUGUGAACGCUGGCCAAAGAAGUGAGACCUACUAAUUCAUGUCCUGCUGUGGAAGAAGACGUCCCCAAGCCCAGACGUGUUCAGUCCCAGCUUCUCCGGGUACCAGAGAAAUGACCGUGACUUUGGCCACCAAUGAACAGGCCAGACUCGAAGGUUACUGUCUAGGCUAGUUCGCUAUUUUGUGUGUGUGACCUCCAGGGUAACUUGCUGCGUCGCUGAUGCCAUCAGAGAUUGAAAUGGCCCCAGUGAAAGUGUAGGCUGUGCGGUGGGGGAGGGGGGCCCAGAUUGCUCCCUGAAAGGCGGGCACGCCCAGGAGCCGCAGGGCGGCCCCAGAGCUCUUUGCUUGUACCUGCGUAACCUCGAACCCGCAGCAGAUGCAGCCGCCCAGUGGCCUCCGGCAGCAAAUAGCAACACAGCAGAGACCGAGUCCUACUACACAGAAGGCACUCAGGACGAUGACGCGGGACCCGGUGAAUUAAGGGCAGUGGUGGGGCUCAGAUCCCGGCCCCUCCCAGGGCGCCCGCGACCAUCCACACCCUGCAAGCAGAAUGCAGACGUCCACAGGCAUGUGCACAGCCGGCCCUCCACUGCCCAGCGUUUCAGAACACAGAUCUCAUGAUGACACAGGUGUGGCAAGGCCAGCCGAGCCGGGGAGGACAGCCACCCAUAGCACAGUCUGGGGGCACCUGGCUGGCUCAGUCCAUGGAGUGUGCGACUCUUGAUCUCAGGUUUGUGAG